rnacentral:rRNA from 1 species
GACGAACGCUGGCGGCGUGCCUAAUACAUGCAAGUCGAACGGUCUUUUCUAUGGAAGCUUGCUUCCGCUGAGAAGAUAGUGGCGAACGGGUGAGUAACACGUGGGUAACCUGCCCAUAAGAGGGGGAUAACAUCCGGAAACGGGUGCUAAUACCGCAUAGUUUUCUUGAUCGCAUGAUCGAGAAAGGAAAGACGGCCUUUGUGCUGUCACUUAUGGAUGGACCCGCGGCGUAUUAGUUAGUUGGUGAGGUAACGGCUCACCAAGACGAUGAUACGUAGCCGACCUGAGAGGGUGAUCGGCCACAUUGGGACUGAGACACGGCCCAAACUCCUACGGGAGGCAGCAGUAGGGAAUCUUCCGCAAUGGACGAAAGUCUGACGGAGCAACGCCGCGUGAGUGAAGAAGGUUUUCGGAUCGUAAAACUCUGUUGUCAGAGAAGAACAAGUCGGAGAGUAACUGCUCCGGCCUUGACGGUAUCUGACCAGAAAGCCACGGCUAACUACGUGCCAGCAGCCGCCGCUGUAA